CCCUUAGAUGUCCUGGGCUGCACGCGCGCUACACUGAUGUGUCCAGUAAGCACCUAACCUCUUCCGAAAGGAACGGGUAACCUUUGCAAAGCACAUCGUGAUGGGGAUAGAUUAUUGCAAUUAUUAGUCUUGAACGAGGAAUUCCUAGUAAGCACAAGUAAUCAGCUUGUGUUGAUUACGUCCCUGCCCUUUGUACACACCGCCCGUCGCUCCUACCGAUUGAAUGUUCCGGUGAGCUCUUCGGACUGCGCGGUCUGCAGUUUCUGCGUUCCGUGCGGAAAGUUGCGCAAACCUUAACAUUUAGAGGAAGGAGAAGUCGUAACA
rnacentral:rRNA from 1 species